AGGCUGGAGCUUGAAAAAGCAUUUUAUUUACACUAAAAAGUUAAUUGUGAGAUUCAAUUUGGCUUGAA
rnacentral:tRNA from 1 species